rnacentral:rRNA from 1 species
AUUGAACGCUGGCGGCAGGCAUAACACAUGCAAGUCGAGCGGGGUGAUGGUGCUUGCACUAUCACUUAGCGGCGGACGGGUGAGUAAUGCUUAGGAAUCUGCCCAUUAGUGGGGGACAACAUCUCGAAAGGGAUGCUAAUACCGCAUACGUCCUACGGGAGAAAGCAGGGGAUCACUUGUGACCUUGCGCUAAUAGAUGAGCCUAAGUCGGAUUAGCUAGUUGGUGGGGUAAAGGCCUACCAAGGCGACGAUCUGUAGCGGGUCUGAGAGGAUGAUCCGCCACACUGGGACUGAGACACGGCCCAGACUCCUACGGGAGGCAGCAGUGGGGAAUAUUGGACAAUGGGGGGAACCCUGAUCCAGCCAUGCCGCGUGUGUGAAGAAGGCCUUAUGGUUGUAAAGCACUUUAAGCGAGGAGGAGGCUCUUUUGGUUAAUACCCAAGAUGAGUGGACGUUACUCGCAGAAUAAGCACCGGCUAACUCUGUGCCAGCCGCCACCGUAA